rnacentral:lncRNA from 1 species
GCGCUGAAACCAACGUACACUUUUCUCACUCUUCACUCUUCUGUCACUCUCUUGUGGGGUCAUUUUCUCUCUAUGUCUUGUCUUUUCAAUCUUUUCUCUCUCUUUGGUCCCAUUCCCAUUCUCUCUCUCUCUCUCUCUCUCUUUCUCUCUACCAUAUCACUGCACCACAACAAGACACUGCUCCUCGUUUUCCACUUUCUCUUUGUUUUUUAAGAACCCACUUCUUCAUCAACCAUACCUCACCUUCUUACAAAAAGCACCACUCUUUCACUAAGGUUACAUUUUCAUCUUCUUCAUUCUUAACCAUUUGGGGUGCUUCAAUUUCUCUUUUUUCUCUCUUUUUAUAUAAAAAGUUUGUUUUUUUUAAGCUUUAGCUAUGUGGGUUGUGGAGUGUGAAGGAAAAGA